CCAAUAGCGUAUAUUAAAGUUGCUGCAGUUAAAAAGCUCGUAGUUGAAUUUCGGGAUCAAAUUGUCGGUCGUGCCUCGGUACGUACUGGCGUUAUUGGUUCCUCCCUUCUGAAGAACCACGAUGUCAUUAAUUUGGUGUCGUGGGGAAUCAGGACUGUUACUUUGAAAAAAUUAGUGUGUUUAAAGCAGGCUCGCUCUUGAAUACCUUAGCAUGGUAUAAUGAAAUAGGACGUUUGAUUCUAUUUUGUUGGUUUCUAGGAUCGACGUAAUGAUUAAUAGGGAUAGUUGGGGGCAUUAGUAUUCAAUUGUCAGAGGUGAAAUUCUUGGAUUUAUUGAAGACUAACUACUGCGAAAGCAUUUGCCAAGGAUGUUUUCAUUAAUCAAGAACGAAAGUUAGGGGAUCGAAGACGAUCAGAUACCGUCGUAGUCUUAACCAUAAACUAUGCCGACUAGGGAUCGGACGAUGUUAAUUUUUUAAUGACUCGUUCGGCGCCUUACG
rnacentral:rRNA from 1 species